AACAGAGUUCAGAGAAAGACUGGUCAGGUGGCCACUUUCUGGCAAAGGAAGGAAAAGCAAAGGCAUGAGAGAUUUGCUUGGGGGAAAAGAAAGUGCUUGCUCGGGAAGUCGGAUGAGAUCUGCAGCUGGGAUGCAGAAAACAAUAGAAUGAUAGAGCAAGAGUCAAGGGAAAUCCUGCCAGAAACUACAUGAGAGCGCUGAUGUGAACUUUGGUAACAGGCUGAGGUCUUCACAUUAAAAGCAGAACCAUCUCCAUCUAGUUGGAAGGACUGAAUGAUUAUUCUUUGCAAUUUAUUGUGCGCUUAAUACAGGUUUCAUCUCCAUCCACCUACUCUCACGUCUGAUACCAAGUCAAAAACUCUACUGAAACAAAGGAACAAGGUAGUGGUGACUUCCCUUCACAAACUCCAGCUGGGCCUCCAUUGGAGGAGGACGGUGCCCCUGACACACCGGGUUUACCACCACUUAAAAAAAAUGUUUUGAGGGUGGCAAUGUGUAAGGAUCCUAGACCCAUCUCUUCCCACCAACACACGGCAUCUAUAGCUACAUAUGGAACAAGUACCUCUGAGAAAAACCUUGAAACUGGCUGACUUACGUCUACACUCAGGUGAAUGAGAGAAGGCCCACAUGGAAGCAGGUAGGAGAAGCAGGGACACAAUUUCACCAUAAACCCCACCUCCAACCUGGCAACCCACAGUUGGGAGGAGUUUCUCUCUGAGGAGUGAGGAUUUGAAUCCCACAUCAGGCAUCCCCCGCUCUUAAGAAGUGCACUUGAGAGAUGAGCCCCCAAAACAUCAAGCUUUUCUUCUUUUAUUUUAGAGAUAAUUGACAUACAAGUUUAAGGUAUAGAGCAUGAUGAUUUCAUAUGCACAUAUACUGAAAUGAUUACCACAGCAAGUUUAAUUAACAUCCAUCCUCUCUUAAAGAUAAAAGUUUUUUUCUCUCUUUCCUCAGUUUGCUGUUUGGGCUUGGUGGGGGGUAUUUUUGGUUUUGGUUUCAAUUCUACAUGUAAGUAAAAUCAUCCAGUAUUUGUCUUUCUCUGACUUAUUUUGCUUAGAAUAAUGCCUUCAAUGUCCAUUCAUGUUGUCCCAAA